AUUGAACGCUGGCGGCAUGCCUUACACAUGCAAGUCGAACGGUAACAGGGUGCUUGCACCGCUGACGAGUGGCGAACGGGUGAGUAAUGCGUCGGAACGUGCCGAGUAGUGGGGGAUAACGCAGCGAAAGUUGUGCUAAUACCGCAUACGUACUGAGGUAGAAAGUGGGGGACCUUCGGGCCUCACGCUAUUCGAGCGGCCGACGUCUGAUUAGCUAGUAGGUGAGGUAAAGGCUCACCUAGGCGACGAUCAGUAGCGGGUCUGAGAGGAUGAUCCGCCACACUGGGACUGAGACACGGCCCAGGCUCCUACGGGAGGCAGCAGUGGGGAAUUUUGGACAAUGGGCGAAAGCCUGAUCCAGCCAUGCCGCGUGUCUGAAGAAGGCCUUCGGGUUGUAAAGGACUUUUGUCAGGGAGGAAAUCCCUAGUGCUAAUAACACUGGGGGAUGACAGUACCUGAAGAAUAAGCACCGGCUAACUACGUGCCAGCCGCCGCAGUAA
rnacentral:rRNA from 1 species